UCCUCAGAUGAUCACACCCACUUUGCUUCACUUUCAUGUCCAGAGCUGCUUAGACUGAUUUCUGCAAAGUGCACAGGCAUUUUCAUGCUGAGGAUAAAGGACCAUGAUCGCUUGUCUGGACCCAGAAAAUAUUUCCCAUUUGCUGCACAGAUGCCGUCUCAUCCUUCCAGAGUUCAAGACUUCAGCAGAAAAAAAAUCACCUCAUUAAAGGAAAAUUGUGCCUUAUCCCCACUACUCGAAGAUGCAACCAUCUCCCUGGUCACAGCCACUUUUUUCCUUUUUUUCUCACUCCAUUGUACGUGUGUGUGGUGGGGCAGGGGAUAAGGGGAAUUAUCUCUCUCCAGUAUAAGAAGAAUAAUUUUCAUCUUAGCAAUAUUGAGUAUUCCAGUACAUGAGUAUUGUAUGUUUCUCAAUUCACUUAGAUCCUUAAUUUCCCUUAGUCAUGUUUUGUGAUUUUCAGUAUACAAAUCUUGUACUCUGUAUUAAACCAUUCUUGCAUUGCUGUAAA
rnacentral:lncRNA from 1 species